UGGCUGCCCAGGCACAGGCAGAUCUUCCACCUGCCCAGACCAAGCAGAAAGCCGGGUUGUUAGGGCCAUGAGCCACUGAGCUUCCUUCGUGCUGACGUUGACAUUGACGCCGACGCCGACACCGACGCUGACAUAGGGGGGCUUUUGCAUUCUGAUCCAGAGCACUCUGGUCGAGCCCACUGGACUUUUCCAUCAUACACUCCAAGAAGCACUCCUGGCUCAGGAGCAGGCUGGCUUUGAUCGCAGGGGAUCUGAGUGUGAAUCCUCUUCCAUCACAAUGUUCCUGUGUGGCUCUGCGCAGGGCACCUCACCUGUCUCAGCCUCACACCCUUCUACCCACCAAGGAUGGAGACAGGUUGAGAGGAUUGCUAAUCAAAACACCGAAAAUGCUCCACAAUCUGAAACUUCCUGAGCACUGACGUGACAUCAUAAGUGGAAAACUCUGUACCUGACCUCAGCUGACGCAUUGUGAUCUAUACACCGGUGCACGAAAAAUACUGCAUGAAGUUAUUUCGGGGCUACGUGCAACAGGUGCAGACGAUACAAAAAUGAGUUUUGUCUUUAGACUCGGGUCCCAAAUAUUUCCAAAUGUGAUGAAAGCCCACAUCCCAAACAUUUCUGGCCCCAAGCACUUCAGACAAAGGACACUCAAGCGGAACCCUAGUCCCAUCCCCAUGUGUUAUAUACGUGUGGUCCCAAUUUGCCACCUGUCCCACUGACCUCUCCCCCUGCUCCUGAGUCGGGCCACACUGCCUUCAUCAUUACACUGUGAUGUCAUGAUGUCAUGAUGACACAGCAGGGCCUGUGAGCUGGAGAGCGAGGCUGUCCACGUUCUCUCUCUUUCUGGAAUUGCUGCCCUACACAGAAGCCACGUCCCUGGGGUAGAGCAUCGGCCCCUUUCUUAGUCUCUGCCAGGCCCUUUCCUGAUCUUGCUCUCAGAGUCUCAUCUCUUGCAGCUCCUUCCGUGCCUUCUGCACUGUCCAUUCCGGAGGCUUCCAGAGUUAGCGGACCUCUCAGGGGCCAGGUUUCCCUGCCUAUGGGAUGGGCCCAGCAGACAGGACGCUCGGAGCAUCACUGCGGAGGAAGGGAACCAUUCAUGAGGAGGGCCCGCUUUAUGCUAGGAGAGGGACAGGAGAGGGCAAACAGCACAGCACCGUAAAUCGAAACUUCCCAGCUACACCCUGCAGCGACCCCCGAAGCGGGCAGAAUAAUUAAUUUUCCAAAGUCUUCAUUUAGAAAGGCAUUGACUCCUCAAUUGAAUUCCAUUUAUCCCCAAGUAGGAGAGGCCAUGCUCUAAGAAAACUCAAUAAAUGAAAACUACAACUCA